UCAACCUGUUUUGGGAGCUAUGUUUACAGGGGAUCUACAUUUGAGCAGCUGCGGGUCUCCCCAUGUAGCAAUGUCCACUUUGAAAAUGUUUUUUAGUGAAUAUUCAAAAUAUAUUUUUCACUAAUUGACGAAUGGUGUUGUUUUAAGACUUUUUAAUGAAAUGCCCUACUUUUUUUAAUGACAUUGUAUGUUCCAGCUUAUUUUACCUUCUGUGUGCUUUGCAUUGACAACAGUGUCUGGGGAAAGCUGCAGUAUAUACUGUGUUAACAUGCUGCCAGACUGCUACACAGGAACAAAAAAAGACGAAUGGCUUGACGCAUUGUUUUCAUUCUUUUGGAACGUCUACUUUCAGCCAACAUUUCAUAGUAAAACCACACUAGCCUACCAGUUUGUGAAAUUGCACAUUGUUUCCUUCUGGUGUUUGUCAUAUAAUCUGUGGAAUCCUGUAGGCUGCUGUGUGCGGUGGGAUAGUAACAUCCAAGACUUUCAUGAUCUUGAGAAACAAAGUAUUUAGCUAGAUCAGUGAUUCGAGCAGUAGAGUAAAAAAAAAAAAAACAAAA